UACAGAGGGUGCAAGCGUUGUUCGGAAUUACUGGGCGUAAAGCGCGUGUAGGCGGCGGCGUAAGUCGGGUGUGAAAUCCCUCAGCUCAACUGAGGAAGUGCACUCGAUACUGUGUCGCUUGAAUGUCGGAGGGGAUGGCGGAAUUCCCGGUGUAGAGGUGAAAUUCGUAGAUAUCGGGAGGAACACCUGUGGCGAAGGCGGCCAUCUGGACGAUAACUGACGCUGAGACGCGAAAGCGUGGGGAGCAAACAGG
rnacentral:rRNA from 1 species